rnacentral:rRNA from 1 species
GAUCCUGGCUCAGAUUGAACGCUGGCGGCAGGCUUAACACAUGCAAGUCGAGCGGAAACGAUGGGAGCUUGCUCCCAGGCGUCGAGCGGCGGACGGGUGAGUAACGCGUAGGAAUCUGCCCAGUAGAGGGGGAUAGCCCGAGGAAACUCGGAUUAAUACCGCAUACGCCCUACGGGGGAAAGGCCGGGAUCUUCGGACCGGUCACUAUUGGAUGAGCCUGCGUUGGAUUAGCUAGUUGGUGGGGUAAAGGCCUACCAAGGCGACGAUCCAUAGCUGGUCUGAGAGGACGAUCAGCCACACUGGAACUGAGACACGGUCCAGACUCCUACGGGAGGCAGCAGUAGGGAAUCUUGGGCAAUGGGCGAAAGCCUGACCCAGCGAUGCCGCGUGUGCGAAGAAGGCCUUAGGGUUGUAAAGCACUUUCAGUCGUGAAGAAAAGCUACGAUUUAAUAUGUCGUGGUCUUGACGUUAGCGACAGAAGAAGUACCGGCUAACUCCGUGCCAGCAGCCGCGGUAAUACGGAGGGUACGAACGUUAAUCGGAAUUACUGGGCGUAAAGCGCGCGUAGGCGGUUUGAUAAGUGGGAUGUGAAAGCCCCGGGCUCAACCUGGGAACUGCAUUCCAAACUGUCAAACUAGAGUGUGGUAGAGGGCGGUAGAAUUUCCUGUGUAGCGGUGAAAUGCGUAGAUAUAGGAAGGAAUACCGAUGGCGAAGGCAGCCGCCUGGACCAACACUGACGCUGAGGUGCGAAAGCGUGGGGAGCAAACAGGAUUAGAUACCCUGGUAGUCCACGCCGUAAA